rnacentral:rRNA from 1 species
CCUUUGACGUUAGCGGCGGACGGGUGAGUAACACGUGGGUAACCUACCUAUAAGACUGGGAUAACUUCGGGAAACCGGAGCUAAUACCGGAUAAUAUUUCGAACCGCAUUGUUCGAUAGUGAAAGGUGGUUUUGCUAUCACUUAUAGAUGGACCCGCGCCGUAUUAGCUAGUUGGUAAGGUAACGGCUUACCAAGGCGACGAUACGUAGCCGACCUGAGAGGGUGAUCGGCCACACUGGAACUGAGACACGGUCCAGACUCCUACGGGAGGCAGCAGCU